rnacentral:rRNA from 1 species
ACGGAAGGCAUCAGUGGGGAAUAUUGGGCAAUGGGCGCAAGCCUGACCCAGCAACGCCGCGUGAAGGAUGAAGGUCUUCGGAUUGUAAACUUCUUUGAUUGGGGAAGAAUAAAUGACCUACCCAAAGAACAAGCCACGGCUAACUACGUGCCAGCAGCCGCGGUAAUACGUAGGCGGCAAGCGUUAUCCGGAUUUACUGGGUGUAAAGGGCGUGUAGGCGGCUUUGCAAGUCAGAUGUGAAAUUCCCGAGCUCAACGUGGACGCUGCAUCUGAAACUGUAAAGAUUGAGUACUGGAGGGGAAAGCGGAAUUCCGAGGGUAGCGGUAAAAUGCACAGAUAUUAGGAGGAACACCGGUGGCGAAGGCGGCGUUCUGGACAGUAACUGACGCUGAGGCGCGAAAGCGUGGGGAGCAAACAGGAUUAGAUACCCUGGUA